UGAGGAAUAUUGGUCAAUGGACGAGAGUCUGAACCAGCCAAGUAGCGUGCAGGAUGACGGCCCUAUGGGUUGUAAACUGCUUUUGUUUGGGAAUAAUCGACAUUACGUGUAAUGUUUUGCAUGUACCAUUCGAAUAAGGACCGGCUAAUUCCGUGCCAGCAGCCGCGGUAAUACGGAAGGUCCAGGCGUUAUCCGGAUUUAUUGGGUUUAAAGGGAGUGUAGGCGGUUGGUUAAGCGUGUUGUGAAAUGUAGAUGCUCAACAUCUGACUUGCAGCGCGAACUGACAGACUUGAGUGCGCACAACGUAGGCGGAAUUCAUGGUGUAGCGGUGAAAUGCUUAGAUAUCAUGACGAACUCCGAUUGCGAAGGCAGCUUACGGGAGCGCAACUGACGCUAAAGCUCGAAGGUGCGGGUAUCGAACAGG
rnacentral:rRNA from 1 species